rnacentral:rRNA from 1 species
CCCUUAGUAAUGGCGAAUGAACAGGGACAAGCUCGGCAUGGAAAUUGGGGCCUCUGGCCUUGAAUUGUAGCCUCGAGAAGUAUCUCCAACAGAGGCGCAGAUGUAAGCCUCUUGGAAAAGAGCAUCAUUGUGGGUGAGAAUCCUGUGUGUCAUCUGCAGCCCUUUGUGUACGGUAUACUUUCUCAGAGUCACGUUCCUCGGAAUUGGAGCGCAAAGUGGGUGGUAAAUUUCAUCUAAAGCUAAAUAAUGGCUUGAGACCGAUAGCAAACAAGUACCAUGAGGGAAAGGUGAAAAGGACUUUGAAAAGAGAGUUAAAAGUGCCUGAAAUUGCUGAAAGGGAAGCGAAUGGAACCAGUCAUCUUGGCAAGAUUGCUUCAUGUCAGUGUGAUGGCUUGCUGUCGCAACGCAAGUGCGGCAGCUGGUUUUGAGCAUGACUUGUGGAGUGUUUCUUGCCUGGUGUGUCAGCAUCUGUCCAUGCUUGACGAAGACUCCAAGGACAUGGUAGCUUGCCUGCGGGUGGGUGAAUGUGCCUGGUAGGACCCAAGUUUGGAUUGAGAGCGGCAUAUUUUGGAGCUG